rnacentral:rRNA from 1 species
UUAAGCGACUAAGCGUACACGGUGGAUGCCCUGGCAGUCAGAGGCGAUGAAGGACGUGCUAAUCUGCGAUAAGCGUCGGUAAGGUGAUAUGAACCGUUAUAACCGGCGAUUUCCGAAUGGGGAAACCCAGUGUGAUUCGUCACACUAUCAUUAACUGAAUCCAUAGGUUAAUGAGGCGAACCGGGGGAACUGAAACAUCUAAGUACCCCGAGGAAAAGAAAUCAACCGAGAUUCCCCCAGUAGCGGCGAGCGAACGGGGAGCAGCCCAGAGCCUGAAUCAGUGUGUGUGUUAGUGGAAGCGUCUGGAAAGGCGCGCGAUACAGGGUGACAGCCCCGUACACAAAAAUGCACAUACUGUGAGCUCGAUGAGUAGGGCGGGACACGUGGUAUCCUGUCUGAAUAUGGGGGGACCAUCCUCCAAGGCUAAAUACUCCUGACUGACCGAUAGUGAACCAGUACCGUGAGGGAAAGGCGAAAAGAACCCCGGCGAGGGGAGUGAAAAAGAACCUGAAACCGUGUACGUACAAGCAGUGGGAGCACGCUUAGGCGUGUGACUGCGUACCUUUUGUAUAAUGGGUCAGCGACUUAUAUUCUGUAGCAAGGUUAACCGAAUAGGGGAGCCGAAGGGAAACCGAGUCUUAACUGGGCGUUAAGUUGCAGGGUAUAGACCCGAAACCCGGUGAUCUAGCCAUGGGCAGGUUGAAGGUUGGGUAACACUAACUGGAGGACCGAACCGACUAAUGUUGAAAAAUUAGCGGAUGACUUGUGGCUGGGGGUGAAAGGCCAAUCAAACCGGGAGAUAGCUGGUUCUCCCCGAAAGCUAUUUAGGUAGCGCCUCGUGAAUUCAUCUCCGGGGGUAGAGCACUGUUUCGGCAAGGGGGUCAUCCCGACUUACCAACCCGAUGCAAACUGCGAAUACCGGAGAAUGUUAUCACGGGAGACACACGGCGGGUGCUAACGUCCGUCGUGAAGAGGGAAACAACCCAGACCGCCAGCUAAGGUCCCAAAGUCAUGGUUAAGUGGGAAACGAUGUGGGAAGGCCCAGACAGCCAGGAUGUUGGCUUAGAAGCAGCCAUCAUUUAAAGAAAGCGUAAUAGCUCACUGGUCGAGUCGGCCUGCGCGGAAGAUGUAACGGGGCUAAACCAUGCACCGAAGCUGCGGCAGCGACGCUUAUGCGUUGUUGGGUAGGGGAGCGUUCUGUAAGCCUGUGAAGGUGUACUGUGAGGUAUGCUGGAGGUAUCAGAAGUGCGAAUGCUGACAUAAGUAACGAUAAAGCGGGUGAAAAGCCCGCUCGCCGGAAGACCAAGGGUUCCUGUCCAACGUUAAUCGGGGCAGGGUGAGUCGACCCCUAAGGCGAGGCCGAAAGGCGUAGUCGAUGGGAAACAGGUUAAUAUUCCUGUACUUGGUGUUACUGCGAAGGGGGGACGGAGAAGGCUAUGUUGGCCGGGCGACGGUUGUCCCGGUUUAAGCGUGUAGGCUGGUUUUCCAGGCAAAUCCGGAAAAUCAAGGCUGAGGCGUGAUGACGAGGCACUACGGUGCUGAAGCAACAAAUGCCCUGCUUCCAGGAAAAGCCUCUAAGCAUCAGGUAACAUCAAAUCGUACCCCAAACCGACACAGGUGGUCAGGUAGAGAAUACCAAGGCGCUUGAGAGAACUCGGGUGAAGGAACUAGGCAAAAUGGUGCCGUAACUUCGGGAGAAGGCACGCUGAUAUGUAGGUGAAGUCCCUCGCGGAUGGAGCUGAAAUCAGUCGAAGAUACCAGCUGGCUGCAACUGUUUAUUAAAAACACAGCACUGUGCAAACACGAAAGUGGACGUAUACGGUGUGACGCCUGCCCGGUGCCGGAAGGUUAAUUGAUGGGGUUAGCGCAAGCGAAGCUCUUGAUCGAAGCCCCGGUAAACGGCGGCCGUAACUAUAACGGUCCUAAGGUAGCGAAAUUCCUUGUCGGGUAAGUUCCGACCUGCACGAAUGGCGUAAUGAUGGCCAGGCUGUCUCCACCCGAGACUCAGUGAAAUUGAACUCGCUGUGAAGAUGCAGUGUACCCGCGGCAAGACGGAAAGACCCCGUGAACCUUUACUAUAGCUUGACACUGAACAUUGAGCCUUGAUGUGUAGGAUAGGUGGGAGGCUUUGAAGUGUGGACGCCAGUCUGCAUGGAGCCGACCUUGAAAUACCACCCUUUAAUGUUUGAUGUUCUAACGUUGACCCGUAAUCCGGGUUGCGGACAGUGUCUGGUGGGUAGUUUGACUGGGGCGGUCUCCUCCUAAAGAGUAACGGAGGAGCACGAAGGUUGGCUAAUCCUGGUCGGACAUCAGGAGGUUAGUGCAAUGGCAUAAGCCAGCUUGACUGCGAGCGUGACGGCGCGAGCAGGUGCGAAAGCAGGUCAUAGUGAUCCGGUGGUUCUGAAUGGAAGGGCCAUCGCUCAACGGAUAAAAGGUACUCCGGGGAUAACAGGCUGAUACCGCCCAAGAGUUCAUAUCGACGGCGGUGUUUGGCACCUCGAUGUCGGCUCAUCACAUCCUGGGGCUGAAGUAGGUCCCAAGGGUAUGGCUGUUCGCCAUUUAAAGUGGUACGCGAGCUGGGUUUAGAACGUCGUGAGACAGUUCGGUCCCUAUCUGCCGUGGGCGCUGGAGAACUGAGGGGGGCUGCUCCUAGUACGAGAGGACCGGAGUGGACGCAUCACUGGUGUUCGGGUUGUCAUGCCAAUGGCACUGCCCGGUAGCUAAAUGCGGAAGAGAUAAGUGCUGAAAGCAUCUAAGCACGAAACUUGCCCCGAGAUGAGUUCUCCCUGACUCCUUGAGAGUCCUGAAGGAACGUUGAAGACGACGACGUUGAUAGGCCGGAUGUGUAAGCGCAGCGAUGCGUUGAGCUAACCGGUACUAAUGAACCGUGAGGCUUAACCU